rnacentral:snoRNA from 1 species
CAGAGUGAGGUCUUUCUUAGGACACCUUUGGAUCAAGCUGUGAAAAGAAAGUGUAACUUCUGAUCAGC